rnacentral:misc_RNA from 1 species
AUCGCUCGCAUUCGCAAUUCGCAUUGUCGUUCUAAUGUGUUUUCUCAUUUCUCUCUUUAUAAUUGUAUAUACUUCUUUUGAAUUCGAAAGGAAAUAAAAACUCAACACUUUUAAUUGAUAUUAUUAUCUAAAUAAAACCGUUCUACGUAUUAGUGUAAUUAUGUGAAUAUUUUACACGUGUUACGGGAAUGUAACUGCUGACAAACAAAAUAAUUGUGAUUGUGAGUACAGAUUUAGAGUUUACGAAUCAAUAAAUUUGUUGUAUAACGUUCGUAUUGGAAUAGUGAAACCUGGAUUACGGGAUGUCCGGCGUUAGGACCGGCAGAGUGGGUAAACAUAGGAGAGGGCGCCGUUUGAGGAGUGGAUCAGUACUGAGAAUGAUGGCCAUAAUGCAGGACAGGAAUAGCGAGGAGGUACCGAAAGAAUUCCUCGAGACCGGCAGGACGGGCCGCAGAAACGCCAUGCCGGACAUCCUGCACCCGCAGGGCGCCGAGGUGACAACGGCCGACCUGCCCUCGAGGCUGCAACAGUUGGUCACCACUGAUUUAGACAACCCACAGCCCGGUACAUCUAAAGCAGAUCUCGACGUCAAAAAGUGCGACGACGCAACCAAAAAGGACAGCUGCAGUUGAGCUGUCUCACUCACUCACGUCUUAACGGACGCAGGACUUGCCCAAAGCAAAAGUAAUCUCAAUCAGGACUCAAACCUCCGUUAUCCAGGCUGAGUGGAAUGCCAAUUGCACAUUCUAAGAAAUUUACAAGAUUCAGCUUGGAUAGUGGAGUUUUUGGGUUCUAUCUAAAGGUAUAAUUUUUCAGUCCAAUAUUUGAAACUUACGAGUCCAGUGUUAAAAAUUUCUGUGUAUUACAGUGCAUCUAUUUACUGAUAUAAAUAAAUUAGUUAUGUUCCUAAUAAUUAGUUAUAAAACACAAACAUACGCUUAGUGAGUUUACACGAUGUGUUUUAACAUUAUUUAUUAUUUAUAGAUAUUUAAAAUUAGUUGAAGUUUAUCGAAGAGUACAAUUUGAUUUUAUUAUAAUUUGAGUGAGAUGUUUUUAAGUACAGUUUUUAUGUACAUAGUCGUAGAUACCACGUAGUUGGAUACAAAUCGUAUAAUUAUUUCUAUAUUUAGUACCAAGAUAAUCAAAACGUGUCAUGUGUAUGUUUCAUGUUUGUAAGUUAUCUGCAGUGACAAAAGGUGGCUAAAAAAAAAUAUGUAAGCGAUUAAGCUCUAUUCAAAUUAAAUUUAUUGCAAGAACAAACAAAAAAGAAAACUGAAUGCAAAAUUCUAAAAAGAAAUGUAUUUUAAUCUGUGGCAAUUACAUAUAUAUACGUUAACAGCAGUUAGUAAGCAUGAUUUAAUUUGUUGUAACUUCAAGAUAUUUAAAUGAUAAUUACUUAAAAUGGCAAUUUAAAUGAGACAUUCCAAAAUGACAAUUAAAAAAAAUCAUCAUUAACUUAUACUCGUAGUAUUGUAACUAUGACAGUUAUAUUUUUUUUUAUUUCAUACUGAUCAUCUACGUCAGCACUUGUAAUCUCUAAUGGUAUUAAUUAAUAAAAAAAAAUUGCACUUCUAUAUCAAAUAAAAGAUGUGCCUGUACAAAAAUGUAAUACAUCAGCGAUAAUAACUAGCCGAAAAUGUAAUAACUUAACUGGCUACUUAUGGUGUAAUAGCUGACUAAAUAGCCAGCUAUUUCACUAUCAGCUAUUGUGUGAAAGGCUCAUUAUAAUCGACCCAAUUACGUCACACUUAACGCAACCUAUUUAGCUGGAUAUUAGCUGGAUGGCGCUCGAGGAUGGCUAUAACCAAUAGCUGGCUACGACGACAAUAGAUAACUUAGCUGCGUAUAUACUUUGCAUAGUCGCUAUGUAGCUGGAUGUUGGUAUAGCAAUCCAUCACUACAAAAUGCCAUCUGAAGCACAAAGGUUACCCAAUAUAUGUAUAUAUUGUUCGUAUAAUAUCUAAAUGCAGUUAGCUGCAGUGAGAUUAGUAACCGAAAAGACUGCAUAAGCAGCUAGCAUAAUUCAAUUGAAAUAAUACACUCUAUUCCAAAUACAAUAUUCUUUGUCAGUUAAUAAAAUUUUAAGAAAUCUUCUUGAUAUUUAAAAUGGGACCCUAAUUCAACGUUAUUCAGUUGAAUUUCGAUGUAUUUCUGGGAUUUUGUAUUUGGAAUAGGAUAUAUAAUACGUUCUCAUAUCUGGUCUGAUAUUUUUUUGUAGAGAAAGAGAGAGAAUUAAAGGUGUUUACAAAUUUACGACUUAAAAUUGUGUUAUUAUAGAAAAUGCUCCCUAAAAAUGUAGUGCAACUAAUAAAUAUGAAGAUCGGCAACUGGCAACAUUAUGCAUUACCUGUCAAACACUGAAAAAUAAACGAUUGCAUAUAUUUGAAUAAGAGCGUCUAGAGUGUACUAGAAUGUUCAUCAUAGAACAACAUUGACAUAAAAUCACUAAUUAUUAUUAUAUUAAUUCCAUAUUAAGCUUAUGAAAUUUUUAAAUAAAAAACUUUUAGAAUAGGUUAGAAAGUCUUAAUCUAUGAUUAAAGUUAUUACUUAAAUAUGAUUUUGUAGUUUAGUGUAUGUGUCUCAUUCAGAAAUGUUUGAUGUAUAAUUUUGACAGGUAAUCCAGAUGUUACCAGCCUUACAGAUGAACAUGUUAGUUUGACAUAAUAGAGUAGCUAAUUUCAAUGAUGUGUCAAUUAAAA